rnacentral:rRNA from 1 species
GACGAACGCUGGCGGCGUGCUUAACACAUGCAAGUCGAGCGGUAAGGCCCCUUCGGGGUACGACGAGCGGCGAACGGGUGAGUAACACGUGGGUGACCUGCCCUCAGCUCUGGGAUAAGCCUGGGAAACUGGGUCUAAUACCGGAUAUGACUCCAUGACGCAUGUCGUGGGGUGGAAAGCCUUGUGCGGCUGGGGAUGGGCCCGCGGCCUAUCAGCUUGUUGGUGGGGUGAUGGCCUACCAAGGCGACGACGGGUAGCCGGCCUGAGAGGGCGACCGGCCACACUGGGGACUGAGACACGGCCCAGACUCCUACGGGAGGCAGCAGUGGGGAAUAUUGCGCAAU